rnacentral:rRNA from 1 species
AGAGCGAACGCUGGCGGCAGGCCUAAUACAUGCAAGUCGAACGCACCUUCGGGUGAGUGGCGGACGGGUGAGUAACACGUGGGAACGUGCCCUUUGGUUCGGAAUAAUCCGGGGAAACCUGGCCUAACACCGGAUGUGCCCUUCGGGGGAAAGAUUUAUCGCCAAAGGAGCGGCCCGCGUCUGAUUAGCUAGUUGGUGAGGUAACGGCCCACCAAGGCUACGAUCAGUAGCUGGUCUGAGAGGAUGAUCAGCCACACUGGGACUGAGACACGGCCCCAGACUCCUACGGGAGGCAGCAGUAGGGAAUCUUGCGCAAUGGGCGAAAGCCUGACGCAGCCAUGCCGCGUGAAUGAUGAAGGUCUUAGGAUUGUAAAAUUCUUUCAGCGAGGGAAGAUAAUGACUGUACCUGCAGAAGAAGCUCCGGCUAACUUCGUGCCAGCAGCCGC